rnacentral:rRNA from 1 species
UUCGGAGUGCUGGCGAGUGGCGAACGGGUGCGUAACGCGUGGAUACCUACCCUGAGGUGGGGGACAACAGCUGGAAACGGCUGCUAAUACCGCAUACUCCCUAAGGGGCAAAGGCUUUGGUCGCCUUGGGAGGGGUCCGCGUCGGAUUAGCUUGUUGGUGAGGUAAAGGCUCACCAAGGCGAUGAUCUGUAGCUGGUCUGAGAGGAUGAUCAGCCACACUGGGACUGAGACACGGCCCAGACUCCUACGGGAGGCAGCAGUGAGGAAUAUUGCGCAAUGGGGGCAACCCUGACGCAGCGAUACCGCGUGGGAGAAGAAGGUCUUCGGAUUGUAAAUCCCUUUCAGUGGGGACGAUCGUGACGGUACCCACAGAAGAAGCUCCGGCUAACUCCGUGCCAGCAGCCGCGGUAAUACGGAGGGGGCGAGCGUUGUUCGGAAUUACUGGGCGUAAAGGGCGCGUAGGCGGUUUUGCAAG